AAUGAACGCUGGCGGCGUGCUUAACACAUGCAAGUCGUACGAGAAAUCCGCUUUCGGGUGGAGAGUAAAGUGGCAGACGGGUGAGUAACGCGUGGGCGACCUACCUUCGAGUGGGGGAUAACACCGCGAAAGCGGUGCUAAUACCGCAUGACAUUCCCAUGAAUAAAGAUUGGGAAUCAAAGCCGGGGAUCUUCGGACCUGGUGCUUGAAGAGGGGCUUGCGUCUGAUUAGCUAGUUGGUGGGGUAAUGGCCUAUCAAGGCGACGAUCAGUAGCCGACCUGAGAGGGUGAUCGGCCACACUGGAACUGAGACACGGUCCAGACUCCUACGGGAGGCAGCAGUGGGGAAUUUUGCGCAAUGGGGGAAACCCUGACGCAGCAACGCCGCGUGGGUGAUGAAGCACUUUUGUGUGUAAAGCCCUGUCAACAGGGAAUAAGGUUCGUCGUUUAAGAGAUGAUGGAUUUGAAUGUACCUGUGGAGGAAGUCCCGGCUAACUCCGUGCCAGCAGCCGCGGUAAUACGGAGGGGACAAGCGUUAUUCGGAAUUAUUGGGCGUAAAGGGCGCGUAGGCGGCGUGUUAAGUGAGAAGUGAAAGCCCACGGCUUAACCGUGGAACGGCUUCUCAUACUG
rnacentral:rRNA from 1 species